AUGGAUUCAGCGCAGGAAGCGCAUCGACGAAAAAGGACACACAGGACAGCCACCAGGACGGUGAGCAGAUCAAGGAUGUCAGGGCACAGUCUGCAGAACCCCGCUAACGCGGGGUUUU
rnacentral:sRNA from 1 species